UGCCAGCAGCCGCGGUAACACGGGGGGCGCAAGCGUUAUUCGGGAUUAUUGGGCGUAAAGGGCGCGCAGGCGGUCUUGUCCGUCAGGUGUGAAAGCUCGGGGCUCAACCCCGGAAGUGCACUUGAAACAGCAAGACUUGAAUACGGUAGAGGAGAGGGGAAUUCCAGGUGUAGAGGUGAAAUUCGUAGAUAUUAGGAAGAACAUCGGAGGCGAAGGCGGCUGUCUGGCUUGAUAUUGACGCUGAUGCGCGAAAGCGUGGGUAGCAAACAGGAUUAGAUA
rnacentral:rRNA from 1 species